GAAAAUGAGGUCAAGGUCAGAUGACAUCUGCCAGUUGGACAUGUACACCUUACAGUCCUUCCAUACACCGAAUAUACUAGCCCUAUUGCUUAUAGUAUCUGAGAUAUGGACUUGACCACCAAAACUUAACCUUGUUCACUGAUCCAUGAAAUGAGGUCGAGGUCAAGUGAAAACUGUCUGACGGGCAUGAGGACCUUGCAAGGUACGCACAUACCAAAUAUAGUUAUCCAAUUAGUUAUAAUAAGAGAGAAUUUAACAUUACAAAAAAUAUUAACUUUUUUUUCAAGUGGUCACUGAACCAUGAAAAUGAGGUCAAGGACAUUGGACAUGUGACUGACGGAAAGUUCGUAACAUGAGGCAUCUAUAUACAAAGUAUGAAGCAUCCAGGUCUUCUACCUUCUAAAAU
rnacentral:lncRNA from 1 species